UGAAGAGAGCGGCAUGCACCACAGACUGACAGGACGAGAUGAGAGCUGCAGUCAACAAGAGUUAGGAGUAAAUAAAAUGCUCAAGAAGAACUGGAGCGAUGUGGGAAGAGAGCGAAACUUUUCAACUGGCUGCAGCUUUUUCCGAAGUGAUGUGAUCAUUUCAAACAAACUGUAAAUAAAUAGUUAAAUAUAUACUAAGACUGACAAGCUUAUAUACAGCUAAGAACAAGGUAAUUGCGUUUUUCAAAGAAGUCAAAUUAGUGCACAUUUGACUUGUUUUCUUGCACUUUUUUGGUGAUUUUACAGCUUCAUGUUUUAAUAGUGAGUCUUUUCUGCCUUUAUUUCCUGGUUCUCUUUGUAAAACACUCUGUAUCUUGAAUAUGUUUGCUACAUAACUUUUAUUGUCACAAGUCAGAUAGCAUUAAAUAAAAAAAUAUAUGUAUACAACAGACUUUGGUUGUUGCUUCACAUGCCCCUGAGCUCCAUUAUAUACUGUGCAUUGGUUACUUAUCUUUUUUUAGGAAUUAACUCAUUCUAUUUGCCAUUAAUACAUGUGCUCAAGAUAACUCCUUUUUUUUUUCUUUUGACUAAUCACAGUCAGAUAACACCAGUCGCACUGUCACCACACCAGCAAACAGGUGCAAAUAGAAAUUGGGAAAUAAUGAACUGAAUGUUCCUGUUUACAUUCAGUCACACUGGCCUGUUGAGCUGUGACUCUCUCUUUCUAUAUGUGUAUGUGUGUGUGCGUGUGUGUGUGUGUGUUCCUUGGGGCCGGUUCAUGCAUGACCUCACAGUGAAAAUGUGUACCUCCUGAUACAAGGACCCCUCGGUCAAAAGCAUGAAUCAUGUGUUUGUCUUUUGCACAAAUGAAAACUGUCAAAGUACAUCACAAAUCCACAAUAAGACUUGUUAUCACCACCUCCAUUCAUUUUGAAACCUCUCUCUCUCUCUCUCUCUCUCUCUCUCUCUCUCUUUCUCUCUCCGAGUCUUUUCUCUAUGGCUGCAUGUACUUGGUGGAAUUCCAACUCUAAAUGUGUGUCCACUGGGAGAGGCGAAGAUGGUGCAAGCUAGCUACAAUAUUGGAUGGCAGGGAGAUUGUGCAAACGAACAAACAAGAGAGAGGUGAGUUGCUCAACUCGCACACAUAACUGUCUAUAACCGCCUCCGUAAAUGACCCUGACUGGCGAUCCGAUCUUAUUCCCACGGAAUAUAUUUCAAUGCCAUGCAAUUUCUGCCUAUCUAGAACAUUCCAGCGUUGCCUCCCCAACUUAUCUGCUCCUGAUGGGAAACUCUGGAGGAUCAGCGAUGAAUGAAGGACUGCUGCUUACACCAGCUGUUUCACUCGGACAUACAUUUCUUACAGCAGCUCUUCACAGUGUGACUGUUCAGAAACCAAGUCUGAGUGCACUUCUAUAAGAGUUCAUGGAUUUUUUUUUUUGCAUAGAUAUCCUGACAAAAAUAUACAUUUUUAGUGUAGGGUGAAAACUUAAACUCUGCCAUUGUUCUAUGUCGUUCUGUAGUUGUAAGGUCAUUUUUUGGCACCGGCAGGACAGAAAAUAUGACUAAACUGGAUUUCAGUUUCAGACAGUAUUCUGUAUACGCCUCAAUUGUAUCUCGACAGAAAACCUUGAGUCAUGGCUUCUUUACAUGGCUGAAAAAGUAUUAAAUUUCAUGGCCUAAAAACUAGCAGACAGCACUUUUCCACAAUUCCCCCGUCCAGUCCAGAGCAGUUGGAAACAGUGUUGGUGGAAAUCUGGUUAAAUAACAGCUUUGCUACAAACUCAGAGCUGAAGGUCCUGCAGUAAAUCUGAGUUUCUAUCAGAGCAGGCACAUAAAACUCUGCACAAAUCAA